CGGGGUGCAGCAGGCGCGAAAACUCUACAAUGCAGGCAACUGCGAUAGGGGGACAUCGAGUGGCAUCCACCUUGGGUGCCUGUCCAACCGUCUAAAAAACGGUUGUUAGCAAGGGCCGGGUAAGACCGGUGCCAGCCGCCGCGGUAAUACCGGCGGCUCGAGUGGUGGCCGAUAUUAUUGAGUCUAAAGGGUCCGUAGCCGGCUUUGCAAGUCCCCUGGGAAAUCCAGCGGCUUAACCGUUGGGCUUUCAUGGGAUACUACAUUGCUUGGGACUGGGAGAGGUAGGAGGUACUCGUGGGGUAGGGGUGAAAUCCUGUAAUCCUCCGGGGACCACCGGUGGCGAAGGCGUCCUACCAGAACAGGUCCGACGGUGAGGGACGAAAGCUAGGGGCACGAACCGGAUUAGAUACCCGGGUAGUCCUAGCCGUAAACGAUGCCCGCUAGGUGUCACGACGGUCGUGAAUCGUCGUGGUGCCGUAGGGAAGCCGCGAAGCGGGCCACUUGGGAAGUACGGCCGCAAGGCUGAAACUUAAAGGAAUUGGCGGGGGAGCACAAGGGCG
rnacentral:rRNA from 1 species